rnacentral:rRNA from 1 species
GACGAACGCUGGCGGCGUGCUUAACACAUGCAAGUCGAACGGAAAGGCCCUGCUUUUGUGGGGUGCUCGAGUGGCGAACGGGUGAGUAACACGUGAGUAACCUGCCCUUGACUUUGGGAUAACUUCAGGAAACUGGGGCUAAUACCGGAUAGGAGCUCCUGCUGCAUGGUGGGGGUUGGAAAGUUUCGGCGGUUGGGGAUGGACUCGCGGCUUAUGAGCUUGUUGGUGGGGUAGUGGCUUACCAAGGCUUUGACGGGUAGCCGGCCUGAGAGGGUGACCGGCCACAUUGGGACUGAGAUACGGCCCAGACUCCUACGGGAGGCAGCAGUGGGGAAUAUUGCACAAUGGGCGGAAGCCUGAUGCGGCAACGCCGCGUGCGGGAUGACGGCCUUCGGGUUGUAAACCGCUUUCGCCUGUGACGAAGCGUGAGUGACGGUAAUGGGUAAAGAAGCACCGGCUAACUACGUG